rnacentral:lncRNA from 1 species
UUAUUCAUUUAUUAUAUAUAAGUACACUGUUGCUGUCUUCAGACACACUGGAAGAGGGCAUUGGAUCUCUUUACAGAUGGUUGUGAGCCACCGGUUACUGGGAUUUGAACUCAGGACCUCUGGAAGAGCAGUCGGGUGCUCUUAGCCACUGAGCCAUCUCUCCAGCCCCUGGUGGAGGCAUUUACCUUAUUCACUCUAUGGCCUGAGCAUGGUGGGACAACAGUGAGACCAAACAAAUACUAGGACUGCAGAAAUCCUUUCAGAGUACUUCCUGCUCCUGCAAAAGACCCUGGUUCGAUUCCUGGAACUUAAGGAUAGUGCCAUAUCCAACACCCUCUUCUGGUCCUCCCCUCCAGCACCAGACGUACACAUAAAUGAAUAUGGGUAGAACAUGCAUAGACAUAAAAUACUUCUUU